ACUUAAGCAUAUCAAUAAGCGGAGGAAAAGAAACCAACAGGGAUUGCCCUAGUAACGGCGAGUGAAGCGGCAACAGCUCAAAUUUGAAAUCUGGCGUCUUUGGCGUCCGAGUUGUAAUUUGCAGAGGGCGCUUUGGCAUUGGCAGCGGUCCAAGUUCCUUGGAACAGGACGUCACAGAGGGUGAGAAUCCCGUACGUGGUCGCUAGCCUUUACCGUGUAAAGCCCCUUCGACGAGUCGAGUUGUUUGGGAAUGCAGCUCUAAAUGGGAGGUAAAUUUCUUCUAAAGCUAAAUACUGGCCAGAGACCGAUAGCGCACAAGUAGAGUGAUCGAAAGAUGAAAAGCACUUUGGAAAGAGAGUUAAAAAGCACGUGAAAUUGUUGAAAGGGAAGCGCUUGCAGCCAGACUUGCCUGUAGUUGCUCAUCCGGGUUUUUACCCGGUGCACUCUUCUAUAGGCAGGCCAGCAUCAGUUUGGGCGGUUGGAUAAAGGUCUCUGUCAUGUAACUCUCUUCGGGGAGAACUUAUAGGGGAGACGACAUGCAACCAGCCUGGACUGAGGUCCGCGCAUCUGCUAGGAUGCUGGCGUAAUGGCUGUAAGCGGCCCGUCUUGAAACACGGACCAAGGAGUCUAACAUCUAUGCGAGUGUUUGGGUGUCAAGCCCGAGCGCGUAAUGAAAGUGAACGGAGGUGGGAACCUUUCGGGGUGCACCAUCGACCGAUCCUGAUGUCUUCGGAUGGAUUUGAGUAAGAGCAUAGCUGUUGGGACCCGAAAGAUGGUGAACUAUGCUUGAAUAGGGUGAAGCCAGAGGAAACUCUGGUGGAGGCUCGCAGCGGUUCUGACGUGCAAAUCGAUCGUCAAAUUUGGGCAUAGGGGCGAAAGACUAAUCGAAC
rnacentral:rRNA from 1 species